rnacentral:lncRNA from 1 species
CUAAGGAAACGUAUUUUAAACCAGAAAAUCUUUUUGAAAGAAAAAACAUUCAACACAAAGCUUCAGUUCCACCCCACUUGCCCAAUAAAUCUUCAUUUUAGUUUGGUUCAUCAGGAAAACGUGCCAUAUUCAUUUUAUGAGUUUACAAAUCCCCAACACAUCGCCAAGUCUCCCAGGGGAAACAUUUAUCUUCAUAUGAGAAGUCAAGCAAUAGUGUUAAGACCGAUGGGGAGAAGUUAUGGAGAGGCAGAUCAGAUUCUAUCCCAAUGCAAGCGAGGUCUAAGAGGGGCCAUUGCCCAGUGGUGGAAGAGACCCCGGAAAAAGUAAUACGUAAGCAGCCACUGAAAAGUUUCUUGGCAGAAAUGGGUCAUGGGUCUGGGGGAAGUUAACAGGAGAUUCCACUUUGGGAAUGCUAGUGCCAGAGCAAAUGUAAGACCAUUGGUGAGAGGAACCGGAGAACCCCUUGCUCUCUGUUGUUCUAAUAAGGCUUGCAGAGAAGCCCUUACUACAGUAACAACAACUAACAGUCCUUACUAUGCCUCAGGCCCUAUUCCCAAAGCUUUACUAUGUCAUUUAGUUCUUAGAGUGACCCAUAUUAUCAUCAAUCCCAUUUCCAGAUUAGGAAACAGAGGCACACGGAAAUUAAGUAAAUGGACUCAAUGUCUCCCGGUUGCUAAGAAGCAGAGCUAGAUUUUGAACUCAGACUGUUAGGAGCUGGGGCCGGAACUGUCCCGUACCACACAAUGUCAUCUCCUUGGUUCUUGGCUCUGACCUAGAAGGGAUCUUGUCCACAGGAAGGAGGCCUGGUGGUGAGGGGUCUGGACACCUGGACUCUGGUCCACACUCUGCCACUAAUCCGGUGACUUUGGAAGGGUCACUUACUUUUCCUGUUGUUGUUUUUUUUCACAUGCUAAUUCAUUAUUUCUGAGUCUGACAGGAGACCAUAGUUUUUUACGUGUCUUUUACUGAAACUCAGGAAAUUGUGCCACAUCAUGUGGGAGUCCCACCAUGCUACCAGUAAAACUGAACUAUAGUAAAACAAAAUAAAACAAACCACUGAAAAAACAAAAAGCAAAAAACCUAUUGGGAAGUAAAAAAAAAAAAAAAACCCAAAACAAGCCAAAAAAACAUAUUGGGAAGUGCCUCUCUCUCCCUUGGAUUUACUUUUCUAGCAGGUGGAAUCCUAUCUAUCUAUCAUCUAUCUAUUAUCUAUCUAUCUAUCAUCUAUCUAUUAUCUAUCUAUCUAUCUAUCUAUCUAUCUAUCAUCUAUCUAUUAUCUAUCUAUCUAUCUAUCUAUCAUCUAUCUAUUAUCUAUCUAUCUAUCAUCUAUCUAUUAUCUAUCUAUCUAUCAUCUAUCUAUCAUCUAUCUAUUAUCUAUCUAUCUAUCUAUCAUCUAUCUAUUAUCUAUCUAUCUAUCUAUCUAUCUAUCUAUCAUCUAUCUAUUAUCUAUCUAUCUAUCAUCUAUCUAUCUAUCUAUCUAUCUAUCUAUCAUCUAUCUAUUAUCUAUCUAUCUAUCAUCUAUCUAUCAUCUAUCUAUCUAUCUAUCUAUCUAUCUAUCAUCUAUCUAUUAUCUAUCUAUCUAUCUAUCUAUCUAUCAUCUAUCUAUUAUCUAUCUAUCUAUCUAUCUAUCAUCUAUCUAUUAUCUAUCUAUCUAUCUAUCAUCUAUCUAUCAUCUAUCUAUUAUCUAUCUAUCUAUCUAUCUAUCUAUCUAUCUAUCUAUCAUCUAUCUCUAUUAUCUAUCUAUCAUCUAUCUAUUAUCUAUCUAUCUAUCUAUCUAUCUAUCAUCUAUCUAUUAUCUAUCUAUCUAUCUAUCUAUCUAUCUAUCUAUCAUCUAUCUAUUAUCUAUCUAUCUAUCAUCUAUCUAUUAUCUAUCUAUCUAUCAUCUAUCUAUUAUCUAUCUAUCUAUCAUCUAUCUAUCAUCUAUCUAUUAUCUAUCUAUCAUCUAUCUAUCUAUCAUCUAUCUAUUAUCUAUCUAUCUAUCUAUCAUCUAUCUAUCUAUCAUCUAUCUAUUAUCUAUCUAUCUAUCUAUCAUCUAUCUAUUAUCUAUCUAUCUAUCUAUCUAUCUAUCAUCUAUCUAUUAUCUAUCUAUCAUCUAUCUAUUAUCUAUCUAUCAUCUAUCUAUUAUCUAUCUAUCUAUCAUCUAUCUAUUAUCUAUCUAUCUAUCUAUCAUCUAUCUAUUAUCUAUCUAUCUAUCUAUCAUCUAUCUAUUAUCUAUCUAUCUAUCUAUCUAUCUAUCUAUCUAUCAUCUAUCUAUUAUCUAUCUAUCUAUCCAUCUAUCUAUCUAUCUAUCUAUCUAUCUAUCUAUCAUCUAUCUAUCAUCUAUCUAUCUAUCAUCUAUCUAUUAUCUAUCUAUCUAUCUAUCUAUCAUCUAUCUAUUAUCUAUCUAUCUAUCUAUCAUCUAUCUAUCAUCUAUCUAUUAUCUAUCUAUCUAUCUAUCUAUCAUCUAUCUAUCAUCUAUCUAUUAUCUAUCUAUCUAUCAUCUAUCUAUUAUCUAUCUAUCUAUCUAUCUAUCAUCUAUCUAUUAUCUAUCUAUCAUCUAUCUAUUAUCUAUCUAUCUAUCAUCUAUCUAUUAUCUAUCUAUCAUCUAUCUAUUAUCUAUCUAUCUAUCAUCUAUCUAUUAUCUAUCUAUCUAUCAUCUAUCUAUUAUCUAUCUAUCUAUCUAUCUAUCUAUCAUCUAUCUAUUAUCUAUCUAUCUAUCUAUCAUCUAUCUAUUAUCUAUCUAUCAUCUAUCUAUCAUCUAUCUAUUAUCUAUCUAUCUAUCUAUCUAUCUAUCUAUCUAUCUAUCUAUCUAUCAUCUAUCUAUUAUCUAUCUAUCUAUCUAUCUAUCAUCUAUCUAUUAUCUAUCUAUCAUCUAUCUAUUAUCUAUCUAUCUAUCUAUCUAUCUAUCUAUCAUCUAUCUAUUAUCUAUCUAUCAUCUAUCUAUUAUCUAUCUAUCUAUCUAUCAUCUAUCUAUUAUCUAUCUAUCUAUCAUCUAUCUAUUAUCUAUCUAUCUAUCUAUCUAUCAUCUAUCUAUUAUCUAUCUAUCUAUCUAUCUAUCAUCUAUCUAUUAUCUAUCUAUCAUCUAUCUAUUAUCUAUCUAUCUAUCUAUCUAUCUAUCUAUCAUCUAUCUAUUAUCUAUCUAUCUAUCAUCUAUCUUUCUAUCAUCUAUCUUUCUAUUAUCUAUCUACAUAUCUAUCAUCUAUCUUUCUAUUAUCUAUCUAUCAUCUAUCUAUCAUCUCUAUCAUCUAUCUCUAUUAUCUAUCUAUCAUCUCUAUCAUCUAUCUUUCUAUCAUCUAUCUAUCAUCUCUAUCAUCUAUCUCUAUAUCUAUCAUCUAUCUAUCAUCUAUCUCUAUAUCUAUCAUCUAUCUAUCAUCUAUUAUCUAUCAUCUAUUAUCUAUCUACAUAUCUAUCAUCUAUCUAUCAUCUAUCUAUCUAUCUAUCAUCUAUCUAUCUAUCUAUCUAUCUAUCAUCUAUCUCUAUAU